ACGAACGGCUGGCGGCAGGCCUAACACAUGCAAGUCGAGCGCCCCUUCGGGUGAGCGCCGCGGACGGGUUAGUAACGCGUGGGAACGUACCCUUUUCUACGGAAUAGCCUUUGGAAACGAAGAGUAAUACCGUAUACGCCCUUUGGGGGAAAGAUUUAUCGGAGAAGGAUCGGCCCGCGUUAGAUUAGAUAGUUGGUGGGGUAACGGCUUACCAAGUCUACGAUCUAUAGCUGGUUUUAGAGGAUGAUCAGCAACACUGGGACUGAGACACGGCCCAGACUCCUACGGGAGGCAGCAGUGGGGAAUCUUAGACAAUGGGCGCAAGCCUGAUCUAGCCAUGCCGCGUGAGUGAUGAAGGCCUUAGGGUCGUAAAGCUCUUUCGCCUGUGAUGAUAAUGACAGUAGCAGGUAAAGAAACCCCGGCUAACUCCGUGCCAGCAGCCGCGGUAAUACGGAGGGGGUUAGCGUUGUUCGGAAUUACUGGGCGUAAAGCGCACGUAGGCGGAUUGGAAAGUUGGGGGUGAAAUCCCGGGGCUCAACCCCGGAACUGCCUCCAAAACUAUCAGUCUAGAGUUCGAGAGAGGUGAGUGGAAUUCCAAGUGUAGAGGUGAAAUUCGUAGAUAUUUGGAGGAACACCAGUGGCGAAGGCGGCUCACUGGCUCGAUACUGACGCUGA
rnacentral:rRNA from 1 species